rnacentral:rRNA from 1 species
UACGAAGGGUGCAAGCGUUACUCGGAAUUACUGGGCGUAAAGCGUGCGUAGGUGGUUUGUUAAGUCUGUUGUGAAAGCCCCGGGCUCAACCUGGGAAUGGCAAUGGAUACUGGCAAGCUAGAGCGCGGUAGAGGGUAGUGGAAUUCCCGGUGUAGCGGUGAAAUGCGUAGAGAUCGGGAGGAACACCAGUGGCGAAGGCGGCCGGCUGGGGGUGACCUGACGCUGAGGCGCGAAAGCGUGGGGAGCGAACCGG